UAAAUUUGUAAAGAUGAAUGAUGUGGAGAAUGUUGAAUGAAAGCGCGCGGGAGUCGGUCAACAUAUUUUUUCAAACAAUUCUUGAGUUGAUGGAUUCCAUUACAUUGUCUAAGUUCAAUCUUUCUAUUUGUCUCUUGACAAGAUGGGUUGUGGUGAUUUCUAUGUUCGUAAAAGCUUCCAGAGCAAUAAAGAAGGGGGUCGGAGGACAAAGGCUUUUUUCCUUGGACUUGACAUUAAAUAAAAUCUUUUUGUCUCUGAGAUGAAGCUCCCUUUGAGCUAGGAGUAGGGCAACAGAGUUCAAGCCUGCUGUCCUGAAAAAUGCAUCCUUACUGCUCAAUCUGCUAUUAUAAUUAAGUACUUACUUGGAUUGAAGGAGUAUUUAAAGAUGUUUUUGGAGUUGGACUAAAUGGAAUCUCUAUGGAAAAAGGUUUUUAUUUAAUUUUUGGAAUCUGUUGAGGUAAGAUAAAGAAGUGGAACCCACUUAAUUAAUUGGUUUAUUUAUCUGGGUUUUCUGGAAGUUAAUGUAUGUAGAGUUCUGAAUUUUUUAAUAAAAUUUGAUCGUUUAUCAUCAGCGUGCAAGAGGCCAUUGAUAAUGUUAAUGAGAGUAUAUCUCCCAUACUUGCUCCUCAGAGAAUAUGAAAUUUCACGAAUGAACACGGUAUAUCUAUUCUUGAUGAGGAGUUUUAUCUUUAGCAUCAAAGCUAGUAGUGAACACUUACUUAUAAGAUCUGGAACGAAUCCUAUUUUGAAAAUAUUAUAGAAGACCUUUUCAGGAAUGGGUCCUAGUGGAGUACCUAAAAACAUUCGAAAGGUAGCCCGAAAAGCCCUGGAGAUUUCAAUUGACUAUCAUAUUCUCAGCUCUUUGAAUAUUUUGGAGGAUUUGCAUGCUAUUUAUCGAAAUUCCUCUAUGUGACAUUCCUUAUUGGCUUGAGCGUAAAUAAAGGUAAUCUUAUAGGUUUUGAAACUGCUAGAGGCAUUUACUUAUUGAUGAAUAACAAUACAUACAUGUAAGAGCUUUUGAAUACAAAUUAAUGGAUGUUUUAAGAAUUUUCUAAAGUAAUGAAGUGUCUCAAAAGUUGAAAAAAAAAAUAUUCUAAAAGGCUCUUGUAUAUUCAGAUAUUGAAACUCUGAAAUAGUUCAAGUUGGAAUAAAGAGCACCUGAGAUGAUACCCCCAAAUGCAUACAAAACCGAGUUAACAAUUAGACCCUCGAGUCGGAGUUUCAAUCAGUCAAUGUUUCAUUCUUCAGUAGUUAACACCACUAAAGCCAUGCCUCCAGUUCCAAAUAAUAAAGUUGUUAAAAGCAAGAAAUUUCAUGUUGGUAGAUAUAAGAAAAGACAGCAUAGACGUCGGGAAUUCGCAUCAAGUAAAUACAACACCGAUAACCGACUACAAAGAACCUCUUUAUAUUCAUCCCCUUCAACAUUGUCGACACUUGGAUCGGAUAUUAAUUGGCUAAAAAAUGGAAUGGAUACAAAUCCGCGAAAGAGCCAUCCCAGUCCUUGUCUGAGCAAAAGGCGAAAUCUGAAACAACAACUGAGAAGAAAUCCAAGAGUUGGGCGGAAUGGAAAGAAAAGGGAAAUGUAGAAAUCGAAAUAAAGACAUGCAGAUCCCCUGCCAUAAAAUUUGAUACUCCACUCUAUGAACUACAAUCUCCAAAAGAUAUUCCCUUUUUUGAUCUCUCAUCUAAUGAAGAGAAUUGGAGAGAAUUUAAGACUCUGAAGGGGAAAUGCAACAAUGACAUAAUAACAAGAAUUCCUUUAGUAAAGAAUCUUGUUCCAUCCUGUCAUGACGCUACUGUAAAUGACAUAUACAAUUUGAACGGUAGUAUCCAAUGUGGUGUUUGUGGGAUUCGUUUUUCACUUGAGGA
rnacentral:lncRNA from 1 species